CGCGGGGUGGAGCAAGCUCGUCGGGCUCAUAACCCGAAGGUCGCAGGUUCAAAUCCUGUCCCCGCAACCA
rnacentral:tRNA from 1 species